ACCAAACAAAACUCCCUGUAUGAAUUUAGGAAAGAGUCAUCAGUAUAUUGAGUGCCUACUAAGUACCCAGUGCAGGAUCACAGCAUGGUGAAGUAGUAGAGGGAAUCUAGAUGGUGAACUUAAUUAAGUCUGCCACUUAAAGCUCUGAGAGAUCCUUCCCUGUGUGAGCCUGAAUCUUCCCAUCUGUAUAAUAAGGUGGUUAGAUAAAGUAAACUCUAAGGUUCCUUCCAGCUAAAAUAUCUUUGGAGAUUACAAUCACUAAAGUUCCUUACUCCUAAAGAGCUUAUUGCCCUGCCAGGGUGGUCAGGCUAACAAAGCUAAACAGUCUUAGAACUGCAAGAACAACAGAGUGCUAAUGUCACACUAGAUUCAGCAUAAUAACGGCAACUGCAUUGUUACUCUGUACGUGAUAGAUUUAGAGAGACUUCUUGGAAGGCCUUGUAGACUCUGGAAGGGUAGGAAGCUUCAGAUUAGAGGAGAGAAAGGAGCCUUGAUUGUAGAUAUUGGAAAUUGAAUGAAAGGAAAAACAAAGGAGAAGAACAUGGCCAUUUGUUGUCUUCCUAGUAUUGGGGUCCUUGCAGAAAAACAGUUGGUACAUUCAAAAGAAUUUAAUUGAAGAGAGUCUAACCAAAGAACGAUUUUCAAAGACUUGAUCAGUGUUAACAGAAACUAGAAAGGAAUGGUGAAGCAUGAAGAUGGUGAAUUCAUAGCACUCCUAGGCCUCAAGGGAAGAAAGAUGGGGAGCAUUGUUGCCAGACCCAAUGAGAGCAAUAGUCUGAAAGAUGGACUGCCUGACAAGAGCUCAGGUGGUAAAUGCUAAGCGGCCACUCUAAGAACUUAGGUAAGACAGCAAGAAAAUAGAGAAGUAAUUACCCUCAUCUUUCCUUGCCCUCAGGUCUCCAGCUAACACCUUCCACUUGGGCAAAACCCACACAGAACCCCAGGGUCAAGGUAGUCUGGGUGACGUGGUUCAUAGAGACCAGCUUCCCAGAACAGGGCAGAGAGAGUUGGGUGGGAGGAGACACAGCAAACAGAAUAACCAGCAUACAAAGUUAUCUAGGGAAGGAAAAGUCAUUGCUCUGAACUCUUUCUAAGAAAGUUUCCUUCUGUUCAAAUUCAGCAUCUACUCUAAGGCUUAGUCUCCUUAGCUGUGAAAUGACAGUAGUCAUGCCUCUGUGUCAGAGUGAUUGUGAGGAUUCUAUGAUAUGGCAAAUGAAAGUACCUGGCACAGGGCCUGAUAGAUGCUGGAGGCUCAGUAUAUCUCAGUUCCUUCCUUCCUGCACACGCCUAAAUGGCUCUUUGGCUGAAAUACUUUUCCAGUCAAAGUUUCAAAGUAUGGCUGAAACUGAAUAAAUGAAGGGGAGAAUGGUAGGAUAUGAAGUCAGAGCCCUGGACCCCAUCGUAAUGACUUUGACUUUUAAUAGGAGCAAGCUAGGAAAUCACUGGAAAGUUUUGCAGGAUUGUGUGACUUCUGGUAUCAGGGUUCCUGUUAUUCCCUAGGGCAUCACUUCAUUCAAGAAAACUCAUUUAGCACAUACCACGUACUGGGUACUAGGCACUGGAGAUGCAUUGAUAUAUACUCCCUACCCUCAAGGAUAAUGUGGUCUUUAAAAGGAGAUAGUUAACUUUAACUUAAAGUGUAAAUGUAAGUGAAUAUAGAAACUCAUAGUAAGGGAGCUCAUGGUAAGGAUAUCAUCUGUGGAGCCUCGGAAAAGGCUUUCUGAGCAAGAUGAUGUACAUUGACUCUUAUCCAAUAGAACUAAGCCAGGUCUGAAUUGAGGGAAAUGAAGUUCUAGGAAUUUGGAGUGGUAUGUGCACCUGGAGUUUAAAAAACAAAAAACAAAACAAACAAAAAAAAACUUGGUGAUGAGUUGGGAAUUGCAGGUAGCUUAUAUCACUGGACAGUUGGCUUUGAGUAGGAGGAUGGUGAGGGGUAAGACUAGAGGAGUUAGCAGAGGCCAGGUCAUGAAGAGGAAUUUAUCCUGAAGGCAAUGGUAGGUUUUUAAGCAAAAAGAUAACUCACUCUGGCAAGAUAAAGAAGAGGCUGUUGAGGUAGAGUUGUGGUGGAGGGUGGGAAGGUACAGAACUAGAGAAAUGAGGCUCAUGAUGGUGCCCUGAACUUGGGUGGAAGCUUGGGGGUAAAAGUAGCUGACUAUUCCAGGUUAACUCUUUAUUAAUGAGGAAGAAUCAUAGAACUUCAUGAUUAAUUUUAAGUGAGAAAACGAAAGAAAGCAUUGUCAGAGAUGAUUUGGAUUUCUGGCUUGGACAACUAGGUAAAUGGUUAUGACAAGUAACUAAUGUUCAAAGACAGGAAAUAUAAGAGAAAGCACAAAUUUUGGAUGUGUGGGAGGUGGAGAAUAGAGACAGUAAUUUCAGUUUUAUAAAUGUAGAUUUUUUAGCUAUAAAAUACACAUUAUAUAAAAUGUACCAUUUGAAAGUGUACAAUGCAGUGACAUUUAAGUAUAUUCACAAUGUUGUACAACCGUCAUUACUUUCUAGUUCCAGAACUUCUUCAUCACCCCAAAAGGAAACCCCAUCCCUAUUAGACAGUUACUUCUGAGUAUAUGUAGAAUUUGAGGCAGUUGUGUGACAUCCAGAUACUGACGUUAAGUAGAUAUUUGAAUAUGUGCUACUGAAGCUAAGGUUAAAAUUUAGGCUGAAGAUAAGUAUUUUUGAAUCAUUAGUAUGCAAGUAGGGGAGUUGCAGUCUGGGGCCUGUAGACUUACACGAGAAUUUCUGUCUUCAUUUGGAUGUAAAAUGUAUAUGUAUAAAUGUGUAUGUUUAUUUUUAUGAAAUGUCUGUAUCAUCAAUCAAAUUCCCAAAGGAAUUUCUUAACCUGAGCAAAGUUUAUUUUUAUAUGUAUACACACACACACUCAUAUUUAUAAAAUGAGGUCAUGAAGUCACAUGGCGGUUAAGAAAACUCCGAGAAAAUGAAUAGUGAGGAAAGAAGAAUGUGGAUGAAACCCUGUGCGUGUGUAAGAUACAGAGAGGCCCAAAGGGUGUUCCUUGAGUACAAGGAACAAAAUUCACGUCUGCCUCAAGAUAUAGGUAAAGGCUUUUAAAGGGCAAUGUUGGAGUUCCCGUUGUGGCAAGCAGAAACGAAUCCGACUAGGAACCACGAGAUUGUGGGUUUGAUCUCUGGCCUUGCUCAGGGGUUAAGGAUCCGGCGUCCUUGAGCUGUGAUAUUGCAGACGAGGCUCGGGUUUGAUGUUGCUGUGGCUGUGGAGUAGACCAGCAGCUGUAGCUCUGAUUCAACCCCUAGCCUGGGAAUCUCCAUGUGCCAAGGGUGCAGCCCUAAAAAG
rnacentral:lncRNA from 1 species